GCCGGGUUCAGUGGCGCGCGCCUGUAAUCCAAGCUACUGGGAGGCUGAGGCUGCGGAUCGCUUGAGCUCAGGGCUUCUGGACUGCAGUGGACUAUGCCGAUCAGGUGUCUGCGCUAAGUUUGGUAUCGAUAUGGUGCUCCUGGGGGAGCUCAGGACCACCAGGUUGUUUAAGAAGGGGUGAACCGGCCCAGGUCGGAGACGGAGCAGGUCAAAUCCCCUGUGCUGAUUAGUAGUGGGAUUGCACCUACGAAUAGACACUGCAGUGCAGCCUGAGCAACACAGAGAGACGCAGACUUUU
rfam:Danio rerio chromosome 11, GRCz11 reference primary assembly.